GCCAGACUCCUACGGGAGGCAGCAGUGGGGGAUAUUGCACAAUGGGGGAAACCCUGAUGCAGCGACGCCGCGUGAGUGAAGAAGUAUUUCGGUAUGUAAAGCUCUAUCAGCAGGGAAGAAAAAAGACGGUACCUGACUAAGAAGCCCCGGCUAACUACGUGCCAGCAGCCGCGGUAAUACGUAGGGGGCAAGCGUUAUCCGGAUUUACUGGGUGUAAAGGGAGCGUAGACGGCAAUACAAGUCGGAAGUGAAAUACCCGGGCUUAACCUGGGAACUGCUUUGGAAACUGUAUGGCUGGAGUGCUGGAGAGGUAAGCGGAAUUCCUAGUGUAGCGGUGAAAUGCGUAGAUAUUAGGAGGAACACCAGUGGCGAAGGCGGCUUACUGGACAGUAACUGACGUUGAGGCUCGAAAGCGUGGGGAGCAAACAGGAUUAGAUACCCCCGUAA
rnacentral:rRNA from 1 species